rnacentral:tRNA from 1 species
GGGCGCUUAGCUCAGUUGGCUAGAGCAUCUCGUUUACACCGAGGGGGUCGGGGGUUCGAAUCCCUCAGCGCCCACCA